rnacentral:rRNA from 1 species
UACGGAGGGGGCUAGCGUUGUUCGGAAUUACUGGGCGUAAAGCGCACGUAGGCGGUUUUGUAAGUUAGAGGUGAAAGCCCAGGGCUCAACCCUGGAAUUGCCUUUAAGACUGCAUCGCUAGAAUUGUGGAGAGGUAAGUGGAAUUCCGAGUGUAGAGGUGAAAUUCGUAGAUAUUCGGAAGAACACCAGUGGCGAAGGCGGCUCACUGGACUGGUAUUGACGCUGAGGUGCGAAAGCGUGGGGAGCAAACAGG